rnacentral:tRNA from 1 species
GGCCCGAUGGUCUAAAGGCAUGAUUCUCGCUUAGGGUGCGAGAGGUCCCGGGUUCAAUUCCCGGUCAGGCCC